rnacentral:rRNA from 1 species
CCCCUAGACGUUCUGGGCUGCACGCGCGCUACAAUAAUACGCACAGCGAGUAUCACCGAGCUCGAAAGGGCAAGGUAAACAAUAGAAAAGGUACUGUAAUGGUUAUAGAUCCUUGUAAUUAUUGAUCUUCAACGAGGAUUUCCUAGUAAGUAUGUGUCAUCAUCACGCACUGAUUACGUCCCUGCCCUUUGUACACACCGCCCGUCGCUCCUACCGAUUGGGUGAGCCGAUGAAACUCUCGGAUGUAGGCUAUUCAUAGCCCGCAGAAGAGAUUUGAAUCGUAGCGCUUAGAGGAAGGAGAAGUCGUAACA